ACUCUCUCUAAGGAACUCAACAAAAUAGCCAUGUAACUUUGGGAGAAGGGUUGCCUCCUCACAAAGGGGGUCGUAGUGACAAGGGCAAGACGACUGGUUACCAAAAACAUAGGUCUCCACAAAGUUAUAAGACCAUAAAUGGGGGCUGACGCCUACCAAGUGUCGGAAGGUUCAGGAAGUUAGUGACUUGAUGAUAGGAGAACUAGUGAUCGAAGCCCCGAUGAAUAGCGAUCGUAAUUAUAAUGGUCCUAAGGUAGCGAAAUUCCUUGUUUGGUAAGUUUUGACCUACACAAAAGACGUAACGAUCUAAGUACUAUCUCGAAGAGAGG
rnacentral:ncRNA from 1 species